AAGAAAGAAGACAGGAAACAGAUCACGCUGAGUUUUUACUGCAAGAAACCUAUGAAAAGUACCCAUUACUAAUAGCACUCAGCAAAGGUGAUCUACCCCAACCAGACAAAGCUGUGUGCCAUUUCCAAGAUGUUGCUGGCACUCGAACUUUCACUCAAGGUGUCUUACAUACCUUCUCCUCACUCUCAUUCAGAAUGUGCUUCCACAUUCUAUGCGCUCAGACUUCAAAAUCUCACCAACUUCAACAUCCAGGAGAAUAGAAGAGAUGGAAAUAAAGGAGGCAAGAAUGGUUUACAGAUCCAGCUGAAACCGAAUGGAAGGAAAGGCAGUGGAUUUCAUCAAGAUCCUACAGACAAGGUGUAAGAUCUGUAAUUUCGAAAGGACAUAUACACAAACUCAUUCAGCCACAUUCCAGUCUAGAAUUAACAUGAAGAAAAUCUAUUAACAAUGGUAAAGCUUUUUUCCUCUCCAAAUGAAUAUGGCAAUACCCAUUCUGGAGAACUCUUAUUCUCUGUUGAAAUAACACCACUUUUCUAUAUGGCCAUCUAGCAAUAAAUAUAAAAAUGGUUAAUUUGCA
rnacentral:lncRNA from 1 species